AAAUUGAAGAGUUUGAUCAUGGCUCAGAUUGAACGCUGGCGGCAGGCCUAACACAUGCAAGUCGAGCGGUAGCACAGAAGAGCUUGCUCUUCGGGUGACGAGCGGCGGACGGGUGAGUAAUGUCUGGGAAACUGCCUGAUGGAGGGGGAUAACUACUGGAAACGGUAGCUAAUACCGCAUAACGUCUUCGGACCAAAGAGGGGGACCUUCGGGCCUCUUGCCAUCGGAUGUGCCCAGAUGGGAUUAGCUAGUAGGUGAGGUAAUGGCUCACCUAGGCGACGAUCCCUAGCUGGUCUGAGAGGAUGACCAGCCACACUGGAACUGAGACACGGUCCAGACUCCUACGGGAGGCAGCAGUGGGGAAUAUUGCACAAUGGGCGCAAGCCUGAUGCAGCCAUGCCGCGUGUGUGAAGAAGGCCUUCGGGUUGUAAAGCACUUUCAGCGGGGAGGAAGGCGAUAAGGUUAAUAACCUUGUCGAUUGACGUUACCCGCAGAAGAAGCACCGGCUAACUCCGUGCCAGCAGCCGCGGUAAUACGGAGGGUGCAAGCGUUAAUCGGAAUGACUGGGCGUAAAGCGCACGCAGGCGGUCUGUUAAGUUGGAUGUGAAAUCCCCGGGCUUAACCUGGGAACUGCAUUCAAAACUGACAGGCUAGAGUCUUGUAGAGGGGGGUAGAAUUCCAGGUGUAGCGGUGAAAUGCGUAGAGAUCUGGAGGAAUACCGGUGGCGAAGGCGGCCCCCUGGACAAAGACUGACGCUCAGGUGCGAAAGCGUGGGGAGCAAACAGGAUUAGAUACCCUGGUAGUCCACGCUGUAAACGAUGUCGACUUGGAGGUUGUGCCCUUGAGGCGUGGCUUCCGGAGCUAACGCGUUAAGUCGACCGCCUGGGGAGUACGGCCGCAAGGUUAAAACUCAAAUGAAUUGACGGGGGCCCGCACAAGCGGUGGAGCAUGUGGUUUAAUUCGAUGCAACGCGAAGAACCUUACCUACUCUUGACAUCCAGAGAAUUUGCUAGAGAUAGCUUAGUGCCUUCGGGAACUCUGAGACAGGUGCUGCAUGGCUGUCGUCAGCUCGUGUUGUGAAAUGUUGGGUUAAGUCCCGCAACGAGCGCAACCCUUAUCCUUUGUUGCCAGCACGUAAUGGUGGGAACUCAAAGGAGACUGCCGGUGAUAAACCGGAGGAAGGUGGGGAUGACGUCAAGUCAUCAUGGCCCUUACGAGUAGGGCUACACACGUGCUACAAUGGCGUAUACAAAGAGAAGCGACCUCGCGAGAGCAAGCGGACCUCAUAAAGUACGUCGUAGUCCGGAUUGGAGUCUGCAACUCGACUCCAUGAAGUCGGAAUCGCUAGUAAUCGUAGAUCAGAAUGCUACGGUGAAUACGUUCCCGGGCCUUGUACACACCGCCCGUCACACCAUGGGAGUGGGUUGCAAAAGAAGUAGGUAGCUUAACCUUCGGGAGGGCGCUUACCACUUUGUGAUUCAUGACUGGGGUGAAGUCGUAACAAGGUAACCGUAGGGGAACCUGCGGUUGGAUCACCUCCUUACC
rnacentral:rRNA from 1 species